rnacentral:rRNA from 1 species
AUUGAACGCUGGCGGCAUGCUUUACACAUGCAAGUCGAACGGUAACAGGUCUUCGGAUGCUGACGAGUGGCGAACGGGUGCGUAAUACAUCGGAACGUGCCUAGUAGUGGGGGAUAACUACUCGAAAGAGUAGCUAAUACCGCAUGAGAUCUACGGAUGAAAGCAGGGGACCUUCGGGCCUUGUGCUACUAGAGCGGCUGAUGGCAGAUUAGGUAGUUGGUGGGGUAAAGGCUUACCAAGCCUGCGAUCUGUAGCUGGUCUGAGAGGACGACCAGCCACACUGGGACUGAGACACGGCCCAGACUCCUACGGGAGGCAGCAGUGGGGAAUUUUGGACAAUGGGCGAAAGCCUGAUCCAGCAAUGCCGCGUGCAGGAUGAAGGCCCUCGGGUUGUAAACUGCUUUUGUACGGAACGAAAAGCCUGGGGCUAAUAUCCCCGGGUCAUGACGGUACCGUAAGAAUAAGCACCGGCUAACUACGUG